rnacentral:rRNA from 1 species
CUACGUAGGGGGCAAGCGUUAUCCGGAUUUACUGGGCGUAAAGGGAGUGUAGGUGGUCUGGCAAGUCAGAUGUGAAAGCCCGCGGCUCAACUGCGGGACUGCAUUUGAAACUGUCAGACUGGAGUGCAGGAGGGGAAAGUGGAAUUCCUAGUGUAGCGGUGAAAUGCGUAGAUAUUAGGAAGAACACCAGUGGCGAAGGCGGCUUUCUGGACUGUAACUGACCCUGAGGCUCGAAAGCGUGGGGAGCAAACAGGAUUAGAUCCCCUGGUAGUCCACGCCGUAAACGAUGAAUACUAGGUGUCGGGUGGCAAAGCCAUUCGGUGCCGCAGCUAACGCAAUAAGUAUUCCACCUGGGGAGUACGUUCGCAAGAAUGAAACUCAAAUGAAUUGGCGGGG